CCUACGGGUGGCAGCAGUGAGGAAUAUUGGUCAAUGGACGCGAGUCUGAACCAGCCAAGUAGCGUGAAGGAUGACUGCCCUACGGGUUGUAAACUUCUUUUAUAAAGGAAUAAAACGAGGCACGUGUGCCUUUUUGCAUGGACUUUAUGAAUAAGGAUCGGCUAAAUCCGUGCCAGCAGCCGCGGUAAUUCGGAGGAUCCGAGCGUUAUCCGGAUUUUUUGGGUUUAAAGGGAGCGUAGAGGGGUUGUUAAGUCAGUUGUGAAAGUUUGCGGCUUAAACCUAAAAUUGCAAUUGAUACUGGCAGUCUUGAGUAGAGGAGAGGUAGGCGGAAUUCGUGGUGUAGCGGUGAAAUGCUUAGAUAUCACGAAGAACCCCGAUUGCGAAGGCAGCUUACUAAACUGUGACUGACAUUGAUGCUCGAAAGUGUGGGGAUCAAACAGGAUUAGAUACCCCAGUAGUC
rnacentral:rRNA from 1 species